UUGAACGCUGGCGGCAUGCUUUACACAUGCAAGUCGAACGGCAGCGGGGGCUUCGGCCUGCCGGCGAGUGGCGAACGGGUGAGUAAUGCAUCGGAACGUACCCAGUCGUGGGGGAUAACUACGCGAAAGCGUAGCUAAUACCGCAUACGUCCUGAGGGAGAAAGCGGGGGAUCUUCGGACCUCGCGCGAUUGGAGCGGCCGAUGUCGGAUUAGCUAGUAGGUGAGGUAAAGGCUCACCUAGGCGACGAUCCGUAGCGGGUCUGAGAGGAUGAUCCGCCACACUGGGACUGAGACACGGCCCAGACUCCUACGGGAGGCAGCAGUGGGGAAUUUUGGACAAUGGGCGCAAGCCUGAUCCAGCCAUGCCGCGUGAGUGAAGAAGGCCUUCGGGUUGUAAAGCUCUUUCAGACGGAAAGAAAUCGGGCGCGUGAAUAGCGUGCCUGGAUGACGGUACUGUCAGAAGAAGCACCGGCUAACUACGU
rnacentral:rRNA from 1 species